GGGGGCGUGGUCUAAUGGCAAGGACACCCGACUUCUGAUCGGGCCAUGCGGGUUGGAAUCCCGCCGCCUCCA
rnacentral:tRNA from 1 species